ensembl:ribozyme predicted gene, 22714
ACAGGAAAACAGAGCCGUUACAGAAGUGUUCAUAUCAUGGUCCCUGUCAGAUUCUGGUGAAUCUGAAAAUUCUGCU